rnacentral:rRNA from 1 species
GACGAACGCUGGCGGCGUGCUUAACACAUGCAAGUCGAGCGGAGCGGCGAACGGGUGAGUAACGCGUGAGUAACUUCCCCCCUCUCUGGGAUAACAGUUGGAAACUGCUGCUACUACCGGAUCGUGGGGGAUGACUCGCGUCCUAUCAGCUUGUUGGUUGGGUAUUGGCCUACCAAGGCGACGACGGGUAGCCGGCCUGAGAGGGCUACCGGCCACAUUGGGCUGAGAUACGGCCCAAAUCCCUACGGGAGGCAGCAGUGGGGAAUAUUGCACAAAGGGGAAACCCUGAUGCAGCAACGCCGCGUGCGGGAUGACGGCCUUCGGGUUGUAAACCGCUUUCAGCCAUGACGCGGUAGUGGCAGAAGAAGCACCGGCUAACUACGUGCCAGCCGCCGCGGUAAUUC